rnacentral:rRNA from 1 species
GACGAACGCUGGCGGCGUGCUUAACACAUGCAAGUCGAACGGAAAGGCCCUGCUUUUGUGGGGUGCUCGAGUGGCGAACGGGUGAGUAACACGUGAGUAACCUGCCCUUGACUUUGGGAUAACUUCAGGAAACUGGGGCUAAUACCGGAUAGGAGCUCCUGCUGCAUGGUGGGGGUUGGAAAGUUUCGGCGGUUGGGGAUGGACUCGCGGCUUAUCAGCUUGUUGGUGGGGUAGUGGCUUACCAAGGCUUUGACGGGUAGCCGGCCUGAGAGGGUGACCGGCCACAUUGGGACUGAGAUACGGCCCAGACUCCUACGGGAGGCAGCAGUGGGGGAUAUUGCACAAUGGGCGGAAGCCUGAUGCAGCAACGCCGCGUGCGGGAUGACGGCCUUCGGGUUGUAAACCGCUUUCGCCUGUGACGAAGCGUGAGUGACGGUAAUGGGUAAAGAAGCACCGGCUAACUAAGGG